rnacentral:rRNA from 1 species
AGCCGGACGGUACCCGACGAGGAAGCCCCGGCUAACUACGUGCCAGCAGCCGCGGUAAUACGUAGGGGGCGAGCGUUGUCCGGAAUCAUUGGGCGUAAAGAGCGUGUAGGCGGCCCGGUAAGUCUGCUGUGAAAACCCGGGGCUCAACCCCGGGCGUGCAGUGGAAACUGCCGGGCUAGAGGGCGGCAGAGGCGAGUGGAAUUCCCGGUGUAGCGGUGAAAUGCGCAGAUAUCGGGAGGAACACCAGUAGCGAAGGCGGCUCGCUGGGCCGUUCCUGACGCUGAGACGCGAAAGCUAGGGGAGCGAACAGGAUUAGAUACCCUGGUAGUCCUAGCCGUAAACGAUGGGCACUAGGUGUGGGGGGAGUCGAAUCCCUCCGUGCCGCAGCCAACGCGUUAAGUGCCCCGCCUGGGGAGUACGGCCGCAAGGCUAAAACUCAAAAGAAUUGACGGGGGCCCGCACAAGCAGCGGAGCAUGUUCUUUAAUUCGAUGCAACGCGAAGAACCUUACCUGGGCUUGACAUGCUGGUGGUAGGCGCCGGAAACGGUGUCAGACCCUUCGGGGAGCCAGCA